CAUCUCUGCUAUUGUGGAUGCCACCAAUCAAGCUAGGUCACAUUCCUGUCUUUACAGAUUGUGUGACAGGAAGGCCAGCUCUUCCCGUGACCAGGGAGGAGUGGAAAGAUCUAGAAGGGAGGGUCCUGGGAUGUGGCUCUGGCCCCUCUGCAGGAAGCAUCAAGGGUACUGGCAGCAGGGGACACACUGUCUUUUUUACUACAGCAUCCACAGAAUCUAGCUCAGAGUCUGGCACAAAGCAGGGACUCGAUGUAGUUCAUUGAACAAAAAGUGAAUGGUAGAUGGGAGUAAAAGGGCUUCAAAGAAUACAACUAGCUAACCAAAAGGUCAUAGGUUAACAAUCCCUAAUAUGCAGGGCCAACAGGGAAUGUCACACCUUAAUUCUUGAUAAUAAUUAUUAACUGCUAUUCAUUAAGCACUUAUUACGCUCAAUGCAUUUGUUGAGCACUGUGGUGAGCAAAUUAUAUAUAUAACCUCUUUUAAUCCUCCCAAAACUCUUGAGAGAGGUAUUAUUUCCUGUUACAGACAGAUAUUGAAUCACACGGAUCCAUCACACUAAUCACCUCCCUUGUAAGUGGAUAUGGGAAAUGAUGGGAGGUAAAAGCGGGGACAUUUCAUGACACUCUGGUACCCCACCUCAACGUGACUCCAUCACACUAGUGGAGAAGUUUUAGGAGAAUUUGCUUCUAACAGCUUUCGGUGUUCAUAGUCCGGGGUUGGUGAUUCUGUGACUUUCCCAGUUUCCUUGUUUUCCAUUUAUUUACUCAUCCCUUCAGAUAUAUUUAUUGAGCAUCUACUAUUUGCAAGGCACUGUACUGGAGCCAUAUGAGUAAACAAAAUAGUUAAAAGAUUCUAGAACUGCUGUCCUCCUCUCAAGAGGUAAUCCUUGUCAUAUGGAAUAAGAAUACAGCAGACAGACUGGCAAAACAAUACUUCAUGUCUGUCUUCUGCUUACCCCACAUCCAUGGCCCAGGAUGUCUAAAACAUAUGGGCAUUCUUUCAACCAGCAGAACAUGGCAGGGAGGCAAGUGGGUAAGAAAUGACAGUGAGGAGCACUGUCAAAAAGCAAAGUCUUAGCCAGAGCCGGGGCUGGCCUCUUGGUCCACAGAAGAUAUGAUGCUACAGUGGCCAGUCUCCUCUGUAGCCAAACUUGGUAGCCAGACUCUACAGCUGGUUUUUGGAAGAAUUCAGAUUCAAAUCACCCCCUCACUCUCGCGUACAAUGCCAGCCUGAAGCGUCCCUUUGUUUCAUCCUCUGGUCACUUUCAAUCCCAAACCACCUCCCAGGCCACCCAUCAGCUUCCAUCUCCCACCUGCGUCUCUCCACGUGGCCUUUGGAUGCCUCUCCCAACUCUCCUUUGGUUUGUAGUGGCAAGAAAAGGAGCCUUCUUCCUCUACAGCCGUCUAUCUGACAAAAAUCAGUUCUCUUGGAAACAGAGAUGGAGGACAUUGGGCCGGAACAAAAUGGCCAGUAGCUUUCUCUUCAGGUGCGUCCCCAAUUCUUGGGUGAGCUGUUCUUCGUGGAGGCCAGAUGCAUCGUUCCUUUCGCCUCAUCCCAGUCCUGCAGGAGACUUGUUUUGGCCAAUAGAGUAUGGCAGAAGCAACACUGUGGCAGUUCUGAGCCUUGGCCUCAACUUGGAACCUACCAUGCCAUGAGAGCAAGCCUGGGUCAGCCUGCCAGAGGAUGAGAGGCCAUGUGGAGGAGAGACAAACUGUCCCAGCUGAGGUCAUCCUGGACCAGCCAGCUCCCCGACUGACCCACCAGCUGACCAGAGAUGCAUAAGGAACGCCAGCUGAGAUCAGCCCAGACAAGCCCAGCUCAGCAGAACUGCCAACAAACCCACAGACCCAUG
ensembl:lncRNA